GUAGGUGGGCAAGCGUUGUCCGGAAUUAUUGGGCGUAAAGCGCGCGCAGGGCGGUCCUUUAAGUCUGAUGUGAAAAGCCCACGGCUCAACCGUGGAGGGUCAUUGGAAACUGGGGGACUUGAGUACAGAAGAGGAAAGCGGAAUUCCAAGUGUAGCGGUGAAAUGCGUAGAGAUUUGGAGGAACACCAGUGGCGAAGGCGGCUUUCUGGUCUGUAACUGACGCUGAGGCGCGAAAGCGUGGGGAGCAAACAGGAUUAGAUACCCUGGUAGUCCACGCCGUAAACGAUGAGUGCUAAGUGUUAGGGGGGUUUCCGCCCCUUAGUGCUGCAGCUAACGCAUUAAGCACUCCGCCUGGGGAGUACGGCCGCAAGGCUG
rnacentral:rRNA from 1 species